GGUACGGCCCACCGAGGCGACGAUGCCUAGGGUCUGAGAGGAAGGCCCCCCACAUGGACUGCGACACGGCCCAAACUCCUACGGGAGGCAGCAGUGAGGAAUAUUGGUCAAUGGACGGAAGUCUGAACCCAGCCAUGCCGCGUGAAGGACGACGGCCCUAUGGGUUGUAAACUUCUUUUGCAGCAGAGCAAUAAGGCGUACGUGUACGUCGAUGAGAGUAUGUUGCGAAUAAGCAUCGGCUAACUCCGUGCCAGCAGCCGCGGUAAUACGGAGGAUGCGAGCGUUAUCCGGAUUUAUUGGGUUUAAAGGGUGCGUAGGCUGUGCUGCGAGUCAGCGGUGAAAGAGCGGAGCUCAACUCCGAAAGUGCCGUUGAUACUGCAGUGCUGGAGUACCCCUGCCGUGGGAGGAAUGAGUGGUGUAGCGGUGAAAUGCAUAGAUAUCACUCAGAACACCGAUUGCGAAGGCAUCUCACGAAAGGGCAACUGACGCUGAGGCACGAAAGCGUGGGGAUCAAACAGGAUUAGAUACCCUGGUAGUCCACGCAGUAAACGAUGAUGACUAACUGCCGGCGAUAUACAGUCGGUGGCCAAGCGAAAGCGA
rnacentral:rRNA from 1 species